GCUACUGAAGACAGUUGACGAAAGCAAAAAUACCAAAAUCACUGAAA
rnacentral:snoRNA from 1 species